rnacentral:rRNA from 1 species
GAUGAACGCUAGCUACAGGCUUAACACAUGCAAGUCGAGGGGCAGCAUGGUCUUAGCUUGCUAAGGCCGAUGGCGACCGGCGCACGGGUGAGUAACACGUAUCCAACCUGCCGUCUACUCUUGGACAGCCUUCUGAAAGGAAGAUUAAUACAAGAUGGCAUCAUGAGUCCACAUGUUCACAUGAUUAAAGGUAUUCCGGUAGACGAUGGGGAUGCGUUCCAUUAGAUAGUAGGCGGGGUAACGGCCCACCUAGUCUUCGAUGGAUAGGGGUUCUGAGGGGAAGGUCCCCCACAUUGGAACUGAGACACGGUCCAAACUCCUACGGGAGGCAGCAGUGAGGAAUAUUGGUCAAUGGGCGAGAGCCUGAACCAGCCAAGUAGCGUGAAGGAUGACUGCCCUAUGGGUUGUAAACUUCUUUUAUAAAGGAAUAAAGUCGGGUAUGCAUACCCGUUUGCAUGUACUUUAUGAAUAAGGAUCGGCUAACUCCGUGCCAGCAGCCGCGGUAAUACGGAGGAUCCGAGCGUUAUCCGGAUUUAUUGGGUUUAAAGGGAGCGUAGAUGGAUGUUUAAGUCAGUUGUGAAAGUUUGCGGCUCAACCGUAAAAUUGCAGUUGAUACUGGAUAUCUUGAGUGCAGUUGAGGCAGGCGGAAUUCGUGGUGUAGCGGUGAAAUGCUUAGAUAUCACGAAGAACUCCGAUUGCGAAGGCAGCCUGCUAAGCUGCAACUGACAUUGAGGCUCGAAAGUGUGGGUAUCAAACAGGAUUAGAUACCCUGGUAGUCCACACGGUAAACGAUGAAUACUCGCUGUUUGCGAUAUACAGCAAGCGGCCAAGCGAAAGCGUUAAGUAUUCCACCUGGGGAGUACGCCGGCAACGGUGAAACUCAAAGGAAUUGACGGGGGCCCGCACAAGCGGAGGAACAUGUGGUUUAAUUCGAUGAUACGCGAGGAACCUUACCCGGGCUUAAAUUGCAGAUGAAUUACGGUGAAAGCCGUAAGCCGCAAGGCAUCUGUGAAGGUGCUGCAUGGUUGUCGUCAGCUCGUGCCGUGAGGUGUCGGCUUAAGUGCCAUAACGAGCGCAACCCUUGUUGUCAGUUACUAACAGGUCAUGCUGAGGACUCUGACAAGACUGCCAUCGUAAGAUGUGAGGAAGGUGGGGAUGACGUCAAAUCAGCACGGCCCUUACGUCCGGGGCUACACACGUGUUACAAUGGGGGGUACAGAGGGCCGCUACCACGCGAGUGGAUGCCAAUCCCAAAAACCUCUCUCAGUUCGGACUGGAGUCUGCAACCCGACUCCACGAAGCUGGAUUCGCUAGUAAUCGCGCAUCAGCCACGGCGCGGUGAAUACGUUCCCGGGCCUUGUACACACCGCCCGUCAAGCCAUGGGAGCCGGGGGUACCUGAAGUGCGUAACCGCGAGGAGCGCCCUAGGGUA